rnacentral:lncRNA from 10 species
GUCAGCUGCAUUUAAUGUGAUAAAGGAGAAACAGAAAGGAAGGGAGGGAGAGAAGACGGGAGGAUGGAAAAGAAGGAAGAGGAAGAGAGUGAAUGAAGACACGAGAGGCAGGAGAAGAUAGAACGUCCUCAAAAUAUCCUUGAGAGCUGGAUCUGUGGUUAUCAUCUCAGGCACAACUCAUCUUCAUCCGUGCUGAUUAAUGAUACUCAAAAGAAACAUUCUUAUAAACAGAGAAGUCUAACGCUCCUACCCACCAUUCCUGCAAGUGGAACAAAAAUGGAAAGGUAGAACCCAGAUGAAGCCUGAUGGGAGAGACCUGGAAGAAUUCUGGUCCUUUCUUUCUGUGGACUUUACACUUUCAAUGAACGUUUCUCGGACAUUUGGAUCCAAUGAAAUUGCGAAAGGUUAUGAAGAAAAGAAAAACUCAAAUGCAAAAACUGCUUUUACCCUUUAAUAACCCUUCUCCUGAGUGUUCUAACCACAUCUCCCUUCCUUUGCCAGUUCCUAAGUCCACAGGCCUUACUGUGUACUGGCCCUUUGUAGCACAACAUAACUGCGGUCAAAUGCUGAGCUUUACCUCCAAAGCCUGGAGUGGAAAAUCAGAAGCCAACAUCAUAUUGUUCCAAUGUGGAAUUCACCACUUGGACAGUUUUUCUCCUGCAGGGAGAGUCCAUCCCUCCCACAUCUACACAUGAGUAGGGCUUUCUAAAAUGUUUAGUUUUAUAAAAUUUUACCCAGGAAAACAGUUAUGUCUACUGCAUUUUCUCUAGUCCCUGGCUAUGUCAAAUUAGUAUUAGCUUUGCCAGAUUAACUGCUUAAAUGCACGAAAACAAUUAUUUACAAACCAAGAGACCCAGAAGAAUGCAAACCUGGUCAAAAAACAGUAACUUUUCAAGAGGAAAUAUAUGAUUUUGCUGGGGAGAUAUCUAAAAGUCCUUGUUGACUUUCCUUCCUCAGGAGCCUGGGGAGGGCUACCCUUAGCUUAACCACUUCAUUAACCUCUGGGCCUUCAGAACCUGUUGUACGAGUCCUGCCUCAUAACCGAGUCCACCUCUGUGCUGGUGUCUGUGACUUGCUGAGUCACUUUUGCAUACUCUGCAACUCUUCCAAAUAGGUGAAACAACUAUUUAGGUCUGGCAGGGAGUUUUCUUCUUUCCUAUUGGUGAAAUCUCAUGUUCUAUCUGGCUUAACAUUCAUUUCACUGAGUACAGGCACAUGUACUUUUACAAAGAUAUACUUUUGAAAAGCUACAAUACCUCCAUGAUUCUAAAUUGAGUCAUAUUUUUGGAAAACUCAAGGACAUCUUGAUACUUAAAGGAAUCCCUGGCAUAUCCACUUGUAAGCUUUUACAACUUUUGCAAAACCACUUGCCAAAUGAGUGUUUUACAAGUGUGGGAUUUUAUAGACUGUGUUUUACUAAAUUGAGGGACACCAGCUUAGCCCAUGUGGCCUAUGACGAACUCAGCUAAGGUCAUUGGAGCACAAAAGUGGCUCUACAGGUAAAUACUGAUUCUUUUCCAGAGAGAGUUAUUGAAGUUUUUUAGGCCAGGCACUGUGGCUCACGCUUGUAAUCCCAGCACUUUGGGAGGCCGAGGCGGGUGGAUCACUUGAGGUCAGGAGUUCGAAACCAGCCUGGCCAACAUGGUGAAACCCCAUCUCCACAAAAAUACAAAAAAAAAAAAAUAGCCAGGCAUGGUGGCAUCCGCCUGUACUCCCAGCUACUUGGGAGGCUGAGACAGGAGAAUCGCUUGAACCCAGGAGACAGAGGUUGCUGUGAGCCAAGAUAGUGCCAUUUGCACUCCAGCCUGGGCAACAGAGCAAGACUUCAUCUCAAAAAAAAAAAAAAAAAAAAGUCUUUUUGAGUAUUAGUGACUUUUACUUGUGUGCAGACAAUUUACAGGAAAAAGGAUGCAAAAUCAAUUUACAUUUUCUAACAAAUUAAAAUGAUUUUAAGAGCAAUCUGUAAAGGGUGAGUCAGUGGUGCCUUGAAAAUGAACCUUUAACCUUCCUGCCCCUUUCUUACAAAACCAAGGCAUUGAAAACCCAAAGUUUGGCUGGGUGUGGUGGCUCACAUCUGUAAUCCCAGCACUUUGGGAGGCCAAGUCGGGUGGAUCAGAAGGUCAGGAGAUUGAGACCAUCUUGGUCAACACGGUGAAACCCCGUCUCUACUAAAAUACAAAAAAAAAUUAGCCGGGCGUGGCGGCCCAUGCCUGUAGUCCCAACUACUUGGGAGGCUGAGGCAGGGGAAUUGCUUGAACCAGGAGGCAGAGGCUGCAGUGAGCCGAGAUCGUGCCAUUGCACUCCAGCCUGGCAAUAGAGUGAGACUCCGUCUCAAAAAAAAAAAAAUAAAAUAAAAUAAAAAAAGAAACCCCAAGUUUCUUCUCUUUGCCCGAUGUUGAUUCAAUUUCUUGAAGAGCAGGCUAGAUGCUCCUGAGGAAUGCAAAGUGCUAUGUUUAUCACUACCAUACAUAUUAGCAACAGGGUUCGGAGGUUUUAAUUUAGAGUUUUUCCCCCUUUUUCUCCUUCUGUGUAUUUUUCUCCUUUUCCUAUGUCUCUCCAUGCCUCCGCGCCUUAGUAUGGUAGAAAACAGACCUAGCGUGCAAGGCUUCCUGG